rnacentral:rRNA from 1 species
GUAUAUGGGCUGACGCCUGCCCGGUGCUGGAAGGUUAAGGGGAGAGGUUAGCGCAAGCGAAGCUUUGAACUUAAGCCCCAGUAAACGGCGGCCGUAACUAUAACGGUCCUAAGGUAGCGAAAUUCCUUGUCGGGUAAGUUCCGACCCGCACGAAAGGCGUAAUGAUUUGGGCACUGUCUCAACGAUACACCCGGUGAAAUUGAAAUACCAGUGAAGAUGCUGGUUACCUGCGCCAGGACGGAAAGACCCCAUGGAGCUUUACUCCAGUUUGAUACUGGGAUUCGGCAUGGUAUGUACAGGAUAGGUGGGAGACUGAGAAGGUAUGACGUCAGUUGUACCGGAGUCGCUGUUGGGAUACCACCCUUACCAUGUUGGAUUUCUAACCUGUGGCCGUAAGCCGGUCAGGGGACAAUGUCAGGCGGGGAGUUUGACUGGGGCGGUCGCCUCCGAAAGGGUAUCGGAGGCGCUCAAAGGUUCCCUCAGAAUGGUUGGAAACCAUUCGAAGAGUGCAAAGGCAGAAGGGAGCUUGACUGUGACACCGACGGGUGGAGCAGGUACGAAAGUAGGACUUAGUGAUCCGGUGGUAUAAAGUGGGAUUGCCAUCGCUCAACGGAUAAAAGCUACCCUGGGGAUAACAGGCUUAUCACUCCCAAGAGUUCACAUCGACGGAGUGGUUUGGCACCUCGAUGUCGGCUCAUCGCAUCCUGGAGCUGUAGCAGGUUCCAAGGGUUGGGCUGUUCGCCCAUUAAAGCGGUACGCGAGCUGGGUUCAGAACGUCGUGAGACAGUUCGGUCCCUAUCCGGCGCAGGCGGAGGAAAUUUGAUAGGAGCUGUCCUUAGUACGAGAGGACCGGGAUGGACGGACCGCUGGUGUAUCUGUUGUACUGCCAAGUGCAUAGCAGAGUAGCCAAGUCUGGAAGGGAUAAACGCUGAAGGCAUCUAAGCGUGAAGCCCCCCUAAAGAUAAGAUUUCCCAUACCGAAAGGUAGUAAGACCCCUUGAAGACGACGAGGUAGAUAGGGCAGAGGUGGAAGUACGGUAACGUAUGGAGCUGACUGUUACUAAUCGGUCGAGGCUUUAACCAA